rnacentral:rRNA from 5 species
UCGACCUGAGGUCAGGCAAGAACACCCGCUGAACUUAAGCAUAUCAAUAAGCGGAGGA